GCAUCCGUAGCUAAGCUGGAUAGAGUACUCGGCUACGAACCGAGCGGUCGGAGGUUCGAAUCCUCCCGGAUGCACCA
rnacentral:tRNA from 1 species